rnacentral:hammerhead_ribozyme from 1 species
GCACUGCUGAGGAGUCCCACAAUAGGACGAAACGGCCGUGCGGUGC